UUACAACUUAAACUAACCCAUAUCUUUUCAUCUACGUUCUUUUAUGUGACUCGGUUACCUUACUUUGUAAUGCUCAUGCUGCUUGCUCUGCAUCCCUGGUGUCUCCUCUUCUUCCCAGCAUCCUCUCUUCCCUAAAAAUCCUGCCUAGCUAGUGGCCAUUCAGCUUUUUAUUAAACCAAUCCGAGUGACACAUCUUCCCAGUGCAUGAAAAGAUUAUUCCACAACACCGAACUCUUUGGGAAGCAUUC